rnacentral:rRNA from 2 species
UGUGCGCGAGUCAUGGGGUUCUGUACGAAACCUAAAGGCGCAAUGAAAGUGAAGGUCAACCUCCGGUCGGCCUAGGUAGGAUCCCCGUCGAGGGGCGCACUACCGGCCCGUCUCGACCACAUUGUUGGUGGGGCGGAGCAAGAGCGUACACGUUGGGACCCGAAAGAUGGUGAACUAUGCCUGAGUAGGACGAAGCCAGAGGAAACUCUGGUGGAGGUCCGUAGCGAUUCUGACGUGCAAAUCGAUCGUCAAACUUGGGUAUAGGGGCGAAAGA